rnacentral:rRNA from 1 species
CCCGUCUCCUAUGAGAGGUCCAGCCUGCCCAGUGGAUUUACUAAACGGCCGCGGUACCCUAACCGUGCUAAGGUAGCGCAAUCACUUGUCCCCUAAAUAGGGACUCGUAUGAACGGCACCACGAGGGUUGUUCUGUCUCCCCCCUUUAAUCAGUGAAACUGACCCCCCCGUGAAGAGGCGGGGAUAAGCAUAUAAGACGAGAAGACCCCAUGGAGCUUUAAAUUCACGCCACCUAUCCUCCAAACACCCUUAAAACCGGGUAGCCCUGGCCACUGUUUUAGGUUGGGGCGACCACGGAGUAAAACUCAACCUCCGAGACGAAUAUUUAAUUCAAGAGCAACAACUCAAAAAAUCAAAACUGACGUAAUUGACCCAAAAAAUCAUUUGAUCAACGAAC